GUUAGCAAAGGUAUUCUCUAAUUCCCAGUACCCUUGACUCCUAGCCCAUGACUCACAACAGCCUAACUCACAGCCCCUGACUCAGAGCCCGCCUGACUCACAGCUCCCCUUGACUCACGGCCCCCAACUCACAUACUCCAGACUCACAGCCCCUCUGAUUCCCAGACUGUAUUCUGUCUGUUUAAUGGACCCUCCCUGGGCUCAGUUCUGUGUGGGCUUCAAGUAAAUACCACCUGCUUCUCAGCUGCGGCUGGCGCAAAUAGCAUAUAUGGAAGGGGAUCUGAAUAGCUUUCCUGUCCCCGAGUGGAGGAAAAUUGCAGCUCUCUCCAUGGUGAACGGAGAUGACAGAGAAUCACUGGGAAGUCUCAGGGACUGUCUGCCAUGCGCCCCUGGAAGGUGGAGACCAGUACAUCCUUGCAGUCCACUGGACAGUCAGCCUAAUGCAAUGAGUGAACCCCACAUCUCGGUCUCACCUAAGGCAAUCCACAAAUGGAGAGACUAGGAUGCUUCAUCUUUUCGUUUGUUUGAUGCUCAGUCUUGAUUGCUGACUCUAUGGGAUUAGAAUCACCAUAGAAACAGAUAAGGGGCCGCAGACUGGGAAAACAAACAAACAAAAACCAGAGGAAGCCAGCUGAGCGACAGCGCUCAUCUUUCCCUCAGCUUCCUGACUCCAGAUGGAAUGGGACUAACUGCCACCAUCACUGUCACCUCCCUACCAUGAUGGACUCUACCUUCAAACUGUGAUCCCAAACAAACUCUUCACUAAGCAAUUAGCUACGUCUCGUGGAAAGAGUCAUAACAUGACAAGACAGAAGCCCUGGUAAUUAGGAGGUUCCUCAUUAUCACUCAUCUUUUGAACAGUACAGACUGAGAAGCAAUUGCCAGUUGCAAAUUGGUCAAGCUGCCAAUUGUCCCAGCAUUCCUGAAGCCUGUCCUUUGGAUCAGGAAGAGAAGAGAACAAAGCUGCAGAGUUGUGAGGGUCCCUCUCUUGAAUACACUGAACCUGGGGGCUCAAGCCAAAUAAACAAGCCAUCUUAAGAUCUGGAGCCGAAGUUCUGCUUCGAAGUCUGAGCUCUGAGAGUUUUUAGUCACCAGUCUCCAUAGAAGAGCCUAAAUUUCCAAGUUACAUUAUUCAUGUCUGUUUAAUACAUAAAUCACUCAACAUGCUAUAACUGAAGCAGCAAAGGCAACUCUGUUCUUUUUGUUCUGUCUUUCACAUGUGUGUGUGGUGUGAAUGCAUGGAUAAUAUAUGUAUAUUUGGAUGAAUGUGGGUGCACUGUGUGUGAGUGAAUUAGUCAAGGGUCUCUAAAUGAUUGGAGAG
rnacentral:lncRNA from 1 species